AGGACGCAGUGCUGCUGGAUGGGGGUCCACCCUCCUUGCCUCAACUGGCUGUGUCUGCAUCGAUCCCAUCUCCAGGAGCCCCGGGGCACGUCUCCAGCCACAGAGGAGAGGCGAGGAGGAGUCUGGCGGGUUUUUCUGGGAGAGCGGAGUGAAUAGCUGGCCUGACUCAGCUGCUGCCAAACCUGGAGACCAGGAAGAGGGAGCUAAAGACCCCCAGCCAACGCCAAGCAGGGCAGAUGCGCCGAGGGCAAUAGAAGUCAAUCGCCUUGUGAGUCUGGAGGCCCGGAUUUCGCAAGAAGGCACUGGCAGUGCUGGCCACUUCAGAGGCUCCACGGUAGGUGACAGCCUGCCUCCCUCCACCCUGUCAUUCUCUGCUGGGGGCACAUCACUCCAGUCCUGGCUCCACAUCACUGGGCACUCUGCCAAUUUUCCUGGGCCAGACCCAUCUUCCAAGGAUGCACUCAUGCCGACUGGGCUGGCCACAGAGACCCCUUUCCAGACAAGGUUACGUCCACUGCACAGGACUGGGACUUUGGCCUGUGAUUUUGGGAUCCACAGCAGCGAUGGCAGACCUCCUGGCACCAUGAGUGGGCACGAAGGAGGGCACUGUGCUCCAGGGGCUGCAGGGGCUGGGCAGAGAACGACAGGGCUUUCUGCUUGGCCACCCCGGGUCCACCUUCUGGGGUAGAGACAGCGUUUUCCUGUCUUGAGGAGGGAUAGGUAGCUGACUGGGGUCGCACAGGGGGCCUCCCAGGUGUGAGGUCCAGGUGCCCUUUUUACGCUCGACGUGAGCUGCCCAGGAUUAUCGAAGAGCAGCUGGCUCCAGACGGAACAAGGUCCGGGGCCAACAGUCCAGCACUGCCCUCCAGGAACCUGGACCACGUUCCUGAGGAGCCUCCUGUUUCCAACCAGCCACAAGCUGAGGUGAGGCUGGGGGAGCCUGAGAGUCCAUGCCAAGCUGAGGGACCCUGAUGCCCAGGAACUGAAGGCCGCAGGCAGAGGUCCAGGGCGGCACUCCAUGGACAGGGGGAUGUCCUGACAGGAGGCAGGGUCCACAGGAGGCGGGACCAGCAACGUGGUCUGUGGGGCCUGUGCCAAGGGACAGCCUCAGGGAAUCAGUGAGAAUGUCAAGGUGGCGGCAGAGUGUCAGGGGUGCAGGGCCUCCUGAGCAUGGCCACCAACCCUGCAGGGACUCCUGCGUGGUCCUGCCACCUGUCCUCCUACACCUGGGGCUCCUGGGGCCCUCCUGGAGCUGGGUUCAGGACACUGCAGGAAGGGGUGCAUGGCCAGAGCUGCCUCAUGUGGCCGUAUCUGACCCAGUCCCUUGGGCCCCGCAACUGAGCAGGUCUCGGAGGACAGCAGAGGGAAGCGCCUGCCUAGCUCCCCCCUGCAGGCCAUGGCUGCUGCUGCUGAGAGGACUUCACGGGGCCAGAAACCAGCUUCUGAGUGCCUUCUUGUGGGGAGAAGAUCUGCUGAUCCAGUCCUAGCAUUGAGGUGACCACCUCCCAGGCCUCGCACCCAGCACCCCAUGACCACAUGUCUGCCCUGUGUAUUCUGCCUGAGCCCCAGGAAAUUGUCUCCAUUUCUUCAGAGAAAUGCAGCACAGAACCAUCGGCAUUCCCCCAGCCCUGCCCCCCUGGUGCCCUGCGUGGAGGACAGGGCCACCAACAGAUCCUGACUCUUUCCCUGGUGCCCUGCGUGGGGGACAGGGAUGAAACACACCCCUGACUCUUCCCUGGUGUCCUGUGUAGAGGACAGAGCCACCAACAUGCCCUGACUCUCCCCCUGGUGCCCUGCGUGGGGGACAGGGCCACCAACACGCCCCUGACUGUCCCCCUGGUGCCCUGCGUGGGGGACAGGGCCACCAACACGCCCCUGACUCUCCCCCUGGUGCCCUGCGUGGGGGACAGGGCCACUUGCAUGACUGGACACAUCUAGGAGGAAGACUUUGGAGUGUCUGUCCACGGGAGCUGGCCGGGUGGUGGUGGCUUUAUCCUUUCUUCCUGCCCAGGGUUUGGAGUGUUGGCACAUGGAAGGUUUAAAUAUGUCAGCUCUGGGGCCACAAAGUAAACACCACAUAUUUUCCUAGUC